rnacentral:rRNA from 1 species
GCCUACGGGACGCAGCAGUGGGGAAUAUUGCACAAUGGGGGAAACCCUGAUGCAGCAACGCCGCGUGGGUGAAGGAGCGUUUCGGCGCGUAAAGCCCUGUCAGCGGGGAAGAAGAAAGACGGUACCCGACCAAGAAGCCCCGGCUAACUACGUGCCAGCAGCCGCGGUAAUACGUAGGGGGCAAGCGUUAUCCGGAUUCAUUGGGCGUAAAGCGCGCGCAGGCGGGCCGCUAAGCGGGACCUCUAAUCUUGGGGCUCAACCUCCAGCCGGGUCCCGCACUG